CACCGUUUUGGUCCUAAACUUCCUGUUGUUUUUUGCGCUCACUACACAUGCAAGCAUCCGCACCCCCGUGCCAAAACCCAUCACCUUACCCCGCAUCUAAGGCUGGAGCCGGUAUCAGGCACACUUUCAGUAGCCAACAACACCUAGCUUUGCCACUCCCCCACGGACCCCAGCAGUGACAGACAUUAAGCCAUAAGUGCCCACCUUAAAGCUCGACUUAGCUAACGCUCAAAACCAGGCCGGUAAAUUCCGUGCCAGCCACCGCGGUUACACGGAAGGCCAUAAACAACAAGCCCAACGGCGUAAACUGUGACUAGAGUAAACUUUUGCCCCCCGAGACAUCAACUUUAGUAUAGUUGUAAAACACAGAUACACAUAAGAUUCACCCCCUCUCUGGAGCCAAACUCUCUUGAACUCACGAAAGCUAGGACAUAAACUAGGAUUAGAUACCCUACUAUACCUAGCUGUAAACCUAGGUGAACCCUUUACCCCGCCCACCCGCCAGAGAACUACGAGAGAAAAAAUUGAAACUCCAAGGACUUGACGGUGCCCCAUAACCCCCUAGAGGAGCCUGUCCUACAAUCGAUGCUCCACGCUAAACCUCUCCCCCCUUAGUCAAAAUCAGCCUAUAUACCGCCGUCGCCAGCCUACCUAGUGAUAGUCGCACAGCAGGCAAAAUAGUACUCCCACUAACACGUCAGGUCAAGGUGUAGCUUAUGGGGCGGCAAGAGAUGGGCUACAUUUUCUAACCACUAGAAAAUCCACCGUAGACUAUAUGAAACUUCUAGCCGACCGGCGGAUUUAGCAGUAAAUAACGACAAGCUAUGUCCAAUUGAAGUAGGCCCUGAGGCGCGCACACACCGCCCGUCACCCUCCUCAAAAAUCCUUAUAAAAAUAACUAAACCACACACUAACUGCAAGACGAGGCAAGUCGUAACAUGGUAAGCCUACCGGAAGGUGGGCUUGGCACACA
rnacentral:ncRNA from 1 species